AGACCAGCAGAGAGGUGCAGGCAACUCUCUGGGGGUCCAAGACAUGGUCCCUCGAGGGCCUCCCGGUGGGUAUUGAGCCAAGGAGCAGCCAGUGGUGAUCACAGACUCCAACCAAGGGCUGGGCCCCUCCAGAGUGAGCAGAGCCCUGCUCAGCCAGCUCCUGCAAAUAUCAAUCCUGCAGGAAGGGUUGUGGGGAGAAGACACUGUUCCAACCAACUGACCUGCUGGAUUGGAGGAUCUAGAAACCUACACGUGACUCUGGCCAAGAUAAAAUGCUUCAAGAUUCCUGGGUACGCUCCACAUGGAUGAGGGCUGUGUCUUUUUAUUCACUGAUUUGUGCCUAUAGAAAAGACUUACUACAAGGCAGAAGCAGUGCCAGGCGAGCAACAUAAACGCAGCCUCUGCCUUCGUGGGCCUGACCAUCUAGAGAGGCAUGUGGAUGUGCACACUUGGAGGCCCACAGGGGUACCUGGUUUGUGGGGUGUAGAUGCUGCUCACUGAGCUGGCAGCAGGGUGGGACCACUAGGUUUGGAGCAGGGUAUGGGCUUGUGGGGCAGGGACUCUAAGUAGAGUCAUUCGUUUUUGCAUCUCUAACACAGUAGCUGCCUUCUUGGGCCACAUGUUCGAAUCUCCUAGGGAGCUCUUAAAAAUGACUGAAGCCCAGUCCCCCACCCCUAUGCAUUCUGCAUUCUUUGACCUGAGGGUGAGGUCUGAGAAUGUGAAUUUAAACUUUCUCCUAUGAGUGGACAUAGCUGGGCUCUGGACAAGUGCUCUAAUGCUUAGCAUAGAACCUGAAUGACAGAAGGACUCCACAUGGCAUAUGGAGCCUGGACAGGGAAGUCCUAGUUAUGGCAGUUGGGGGUGCAGGCUGGCCCUCCAACCCCUGUAACCUUCUGGGAUGCUUCCUGGAGGGGCACCAAUCUGGCAUUAAGAUUUGAGGGAGGAGAGAGAAUAGCUGGGGGCCGGGGCAAGAGGCAGGGCUCCCAUUCUUGUAGGCUUGCCGAUUUUGAACAAAUUUGCCAGGCAGGCCUCGCUUGAAUUCUUGGAUGCAGAAGGAAAGGAAGGCUCAGAAUCAGAUGAUGUCCUUCCCCACUGAGCUCAGCCAGGGCUGGCCUUGCUAACCAAGGACGCUGCACCCAAUGGCCUUGCUCCCCUGUAAUCUAUCCGAAGACCCUGACAGAACCCUCAGGCUUAGAAACAGGAGGUGGGUCUUGAGGGCCACUGGAGCUCCUGGAAGAACAAAUGAAUGAGCUCAUUCUUCAAGGGAACGCAGGGCCGGGACAGAAGCUACCGUCUGCCAGAUGCGGCUCUCUGUGCAGCGCCUUUCUGAAGAUUCAGACUGUUCCCAUGGUAAUUUGAGUGAAAUCGUGGGGGAAGCAGCUCAUCACCGCAUGGUCAGUUAGACAUAAAAUGUGUUUUAAAAUAAUUUUCUUUGACUACAUCUGUUAUCAAAAAUCACACCCACCUCCAGAGUAUACAUUGCAAUUUUUAAAAGUGAAAAUUGAGGAAAAGUGCAUUCUUAUCAAAAUAGCCCCCUCUUUUUUUCUCCCCUCUCUCUCUGCCUCGAAGCCAUCAAAUUGAUUCAGCUUAAGGCUAAAUAUAGGGUUGACUAACAAUGAUUUCCACAAGAGCUUUAGAAAUCGCUUGUAAGCGAGCAAACGGAAAAUAGAUCGUCCCACAACCACAUCAACCAAUGUCUGAGACAACAGCCUAAAUCCAGCUGCUGAACUGAAACGCAAAGGAAUGCUCUGUCCCUUGGCUGGCCCAGCAGUUGCAAGGCCCCAGCAGAAGGGGAGACAUCGAUGGCGCCCAGUGCCCUCAAGGCGGGUCUGGCUGGUUGCUGUUUGGAGAUGUUCCCUGGGAGGGGCUGAGGGGUUGCCGUGAGAAGCCCAUUCAUUCCACUGUGGGUCCCAGGGAGGCCUGGAGUAUUGGCAAUAGCAGGUCAGAGAGGAAAGGCGAGCUGCUGGCCCAGGAUGCUACAGAAGGGGCCUGGUCAAGAAUCACGACCAAAAUAGCUCCUGUUGACAGGAGAGGCUCCUCUUCAUCAACGCCCCUUAUUAACCUUUGCAGAACACCGUGACUGCUCUGGCCUGGCAGGCAGUUUUAGUACCAUCCUGAUGCCUGGGCAAGACGGGAUCCUCCCUCAGCCCUGUGCCCCUGAGGGCCCCACUCCCCACUCCACAGGGUAAGAGGUCCAGGGCCCACUGGGAUGUGUCCACCUAGAGUUUUUG
rnacentral:lncRNA from 10 species